CCCUUAGAUGUUCUGGGCCGCACGCGCGCUACACUGACGCAUUCAACGAGUCUAAAACCUGGUCUGAUAGGGCUGGGUAAUCUUUUGAAUGUGCGUCGUGAUUGGGAUAAAUGAUUGUAAUUCUUCAUUUUCAACGAGGAAUGCCUAGUAAACGCAAGUCAUCAGCUUGCAUUGAUUACGUCCCUGCCCUUUGUACACACCGCCCGUCGCUCCUACCGAUUGAAUGAUCCGAUGAAUAUCAUGGACUGAGAGUGUUAGAGUUUUCGGACUUCUACACUUCUCGGGAAGUGAAGUGGAUCUUAUCAUUUAGAGGAAGGAGAAGUCGUAACA
rnacentral:rRNA from 1 species